CUGGCUCAGGACGAACGCUGGCGGCGUGCCUAACACAUGCAAGUCGAACGGUUUUCGAGGUUCGACAUUCGAGGUUCGAAGUUCGAGUAAAAGCAAAUCGAACUUCGAAUUUCGAACGUCGAACUUCGAGAAUAGUGGCGCACGGGUGAGUAACGCGUGGAUAACCUGCCUGGUAGACCGGGAUAACAGCUGGAAACGGCUGCUAAUACCGGAUACGCUCUGGCUGUCGCAUGACAGUGAGAGGAAAGAAAUAUCGCUAUCAGAUGGGUCCGCGUCCCAUUAGCUGGUUGGUGGUGUAAGAGACCACCAAGGCGACGAUGGGUAGCCGGCCUGAGAGGGCGACCGGCCACACUGGGACUGAGACACGGCCCAGACUCCUACGGGAGGCAGCAGUGGGGAAUCUUCCGCAAUGGGCGAAAGCCUGACGGAGCAACGCCGCGUGAGGGAAGAAGGCCUUCGGGUUGUAAACCUCUGUCUUCAAGGAAGAA
rnacentral:rRNA from 2 species